AUUGAACGCCGUCGGCAGGCCUAACACAUGCAAGUCGAACGAGUAGCGGACGGGUGAGUAAUGUAUGGGAAAAUGCCCGCUGGAGGGGGAUAACUACUGGAAAAGGUAGCUAAUACCGCAUACAAUCGGAUGUGACCAGAUUGGAUUAGCUAGUAGGUGGGGUAACGGCUCACCUAGGCUACGAUCCCUAGCUGGUCUAAGAGGAUGACCAGCCACACUGGAACUGAGACCCGGUCCAGCCUCCUACGGGAGGCAGCAGUGGGGAUUAUUGCACAAUGGGCGCAAGCCUGCUGCAGCCAUGCCGCGUGUAUUAAGAAGGCCUUCGGGUUGUAAAGUACUUUCAGCGAGGAGGCGUUACUCUCAGAAGAAGCAUCUGCUAACUCCGUGCCAGCAGCCGCGGUAAUUC
rnacentral:rRNA from 1 species